rnacentral:ncRNA from 12 species
GAUUUACUGAGGGCGGAACUGGCAGCCGCCGCCGGAUAGUCGAAAGACUUGAUUAGGAGAUGCAGGAUAGUCACCCUGCCUUAAAUC